UACGUAAGGUGCAAGCGUUGUCCGGAAUUAUUGGGCGUAAAGGGCGCGUAGGUGGCCUGUGGAAGUCUGCGGUGAAAGCCCGGCGCUCAACGCCGGGUCGGCCGUGGAUACUCUCGGGCUUGAGCUUACUAGAGGCAGAUGGAAUUCCAGGUGUAGCGGUGAAAUGCGUAGAUAUCUGGAGGAACACCGGUGGCGAAGGCGGCAUCCUGGACCAACACUGACGCUGAUGAGCGAAAGCCAGGGGAGCAAACGGG
rnacentral:rRNA from 1 species